CUCCCCUUGGUGUAGUUGGUUUAUCACGUUCGACUGUAAUGGUUCCAUUGUCAUCGAAAGGUCUCUAGUUCGAUUCUGGAAGGGGAGA
rnacentral:tRNA from 3 species